CUCAAAUUUUUAAUCCCUCAAAUUCGGUGCUAGCUGAUGGCCAUAUACCUUGGGCCUGCGAGGCAUUCUCCCAGUCCCAUGGACAGCAACUUGUACAGAACCCUGCUCUUCUAUGGGGCUGGCGUUUCUUCAUGAUUAAACUCUGGAACCACAGCCUUCUAGACGCUCGCACCAUGGACACGUGCAACACAAUCCUCCAAGGUUUCCAAGACAAGAAGUAAUUUCAAUGCUUCGGGGGGAACAACUGUUCGUAAAGCUGUUCCUGGGGGAAGAGAGGAGGGUCAUUGUUUCAUUCAUGAUUGAUGUCAAUUGUAUUAAUUGUUGCUGAAAAGAGAUGACGUAACAGGGGCACCUCCCAAACUGUAACAAUAUAAUGUAUCCUGGGUGAUACUUGGAUUUGAUGAAUAUUAGUGAUGUUUCCUUACUUAAGAGUUGUGA